rnacentral:rRNA from 1 species
CUACGGGUCGCUCCAGUGGGGAAUAUUGCACAAUGGACGAAAGUCUGAUGCAGCAACGCCGCGUGGAGGAUGACACAUUUCGGUGCGUAAACUCCUUUUAUAUAGGAAGAUAAUGACGGUACUAUAUGAAUAAGCACCGGCUAACUCCGUGCCAGGCAGCCGCGGUAAUACGGAGGGUGCAAGCGUUACUCGGAAUCACUGGGCGUAAAGAGCGUGUAGGCGGGUAGUUAAGUCAGAAGUGAAAUCCAAUAGCUCAACUAUUGAACUGCUUUUGAAACUGAUUACCUAGAAUAUGGGAGAGGUAGAUGGAAUUUCUGGUGUAGGGGUAAAAUCCGUAGAGAUCAGAAGGAAUACCGAUUGCGAAGGCGAUCUACUGGAACAUUAUUGACGCUGAGACGCGAAAGCGUGGGGAGCAAACAGGAUUAGAUACCCGCGUAGUC